UACGAAGGGGGCUAGCGUUGCUCGGAAUUACUGGGCGUAAAGGGAGCGUAGGCGGAUAGUUUAGUCAGAGGUGAAAGCCCAGGGCUCAACCUUGGAAUUGCCUUUGAUACUGGCUAUCUUGAGUACGGAAGAGGUAUGUGGAACUCCGAGUGUAGAGGUGAAAUUCGUAGAUAUUCGGAAGAACACCAGUGGCGAAGGCGACAUACUGGUCCGUUACUGACGCUGAUGCGCGAAAGCGUGGGGAGCAAACAGG
rnacentral:rRNA from 1 species